rnacentral:rRNA from 1 species
UGGGGAAUAUUGGACAAUGGGCGCAAGCCUGAUCCAGCAAUGCCGCGUGGGUGAAGACGGCCUGCGGGUUGUAAAGCCCUUUAGGCGGGGAGGAACGGUCGGAGGCUAACAGCGUCCGACGCUGACGUUACCCGCGGAAUAAGCACCGGCUAACUCCGUGCCAGCAGCCGCGGUAAUACGGAGGGUGCGAGCGUUAAUCGGAAUUACUGGGCGUAAAGCGUGCGUAGGCGGUCGCGUCAGUCAGCCGUGAAAGCCCUGGGCUCAACCUGGGAACGGCGGUUGAGACGGCGCGACUGGAGUGGGCUAGAGGAUCGUGGAAUUCCCGGUGUAGCGGUGAAAUGCGUAGAGAUCGGGAAGAACACCGAUGGCGAAGGCAGCGGUCUGGGGCCACACUGACGCUGAGGCACGAAAGCGUGGGGAGCAAACAGG